GUAUAGGCUGCGCUGUCAGGCCGGUGUCAGUCUGAUGAAGAUUGGCAUGCAGGCGGCAGAAUUAUUGAUCGCUCCACAUGGGCACAUGUUCCUGAACUGGAAGAAUACAUUUCAGAGUGCACAUUGUUCUGUCCCUACCCAUCAGUCCAUUUAGCAUGAUACCUUCUGAAGUUGGAUUCUGAAGCUUUGUGGCCUUUUGCGCCAGUCUUUUCCAAGGGAUCUCUGACUCUCCUUCCAUUGAUGAAGAUUGGCUUGAAUCCUAUUCCUACCCACCCAACUGGCAUCCAUCUGCACCAAACCGUGUAGUCUUUAGAACUUGAUGGAACUCCUCUCUCCAUUUUCAUUCAGACCAAUGUUGAAAACAUUGGAUUGCAUCCAGAGAGCAUCUGAGUGCUGAGGGUACUGCCGCUCAUCAAUUUUCCGAAACGCUCCAUUGAAAAGUAUUCUCCAGGUGGCUCUGCUCUGGCUGGAAGAAGCAGCUUUUGUGUUAACCUGCAAAGAAAGGGCAGAGGGGAGAGUUUCA